GCGUCGGUGGUCCAAUGGUUACGAUUCGACAUUCCCAUGGUCACUGCGGAAACUAUCGAUAGUGUCAGUCUUCUGACGAUGUCGAGACCCGGGUUCGAUUCCCGGCCGACGCA
rfam:Ajellomyces capsulatus NAm1 scaffold_6 genomic scaffold, whole genome shotgun sequence.